GAUGAACGCUAGCUACAGGCUUAACACAUGCAAGUCGAACGAGAAUCUACUGAAAGAGUUUUCGGACAAUGGAAGUAGAGGAAAGUGGCGGACGGGUGAGUAACGCGUGAGGAACCUGCCUUGAAGAGGGGGACAACAGUUGGAAACGACUGCUAAUACCGCAUGAUGCAUAGGGGUCGCAUGAUUCUUAUGCCAAAGAUUUAUCGCUUCAAGAUGGCCUCGCGUCCGAUUAGCUAGUUGGCGGGGUAACGGCCCACCAAGGCGACGAUCAGUAGCCGGACUGAGAGGUUGAACGGCCACAUUGGGACUGAGAUACGGCCCAGACUCCUACGGGAGGCAGCAGUGGGGAAUAUUGGGCAAUGGGCGCAAGCCUGACCCAGCAACGCCG
rnacentral:rRNA from 1 species